rnacentral:rRNA from 1 species
UACGUAGGGUGCGAGCGUUAAUCGGAAUUACUGGGCGUAAAGCGUGCGCAGGCGGUUUUGUAAGCCGGAUGUGAAAGCCCCGGGCUUAACCUGGGAAUGGCAUUUGGGACUGCAAGGCUGGAGUGUGGCAGAGGAGACUGGAAUUCCUGGUGUAGCAGUGAAAUGCGUAGAUAUCAGGAGGAAUACCGAUGGCGAAGGCAGGUCUCUGGGCUGACACUGACGCUCAUGCACGAAAGCGUGGGGAGCAAACAGG